UUCGUCACACUAUCAUUAACUGAAUCCAUAGGUUAAUGAGGCGAACCGGGGGAACUGAAACAUCUAAGUACCCCGAGGAAAAGAAAUCAACCGAGAUUCCCCCAGUAGCGGCGAGCGAACGGGGAGCAGCCCAGAGCCUGAAUCAGUGUGUGUGUUAGUGGAAGCGUCUGGAAAGGCGCGCGAUACAGGGUGACAGCCCCGUACACAAAAAUGCACAUGCUGUGAGCUCGAUGAGUAGGGCGGGACACGUGGUAUCCUGUCUGAAUAUGGGGGGACCAUCCUCCAAGGCUAAAUACUCCUGACUGACCGAUAGUGAACCAGUACCGUGAGGGAAAGGCGAAAAGAACCCCGGCGAGGGGAGUGAAAAAGAACCUGAAACCGUGUACGUACAAGCAGUGGGAGCACGCUUAGGCGUGUGACUGCGUACCUUUUGUAUAAUGGGUCAGCGACUUAUAUUCUGUAGCAAGGUUAACCGAAUAGGGGAGCCGAAGGGAAACCGAGUCUUAACUGGGCGUUAAGUUGCAGGGUAUAGACCCGAAACCCGGUGAUCUAGCCAUGGGCAGGUUGAAGGUUGGGUAACACUAACUGGAGGACCGAACCGACUAAUGUUGAAAAAUUAGCGGAUGACUUGUGGCUGGGGGUGAAAGGCCAAUCAAACCGGGAGAUAGCUGGUUCUCCCCGAAAGCUAUUUAGGUAGCGCCUCGUGAAUUCAUCUCCGGGGGUAGAGCACUGUUUCGGCAAGGGGGUCAUCCCGACUUACCAACCCGAUGCAAACUGCGAAUACCGGAGAAUGUUAUCACGGGAGACACACGGCGGGUGCUAACGUCCGUCGUGAAGAGGGAAACAACCCAGACCGCCAGCUAAGGUCCCAAAGUCAUGGUUAAGUGGGAAACGAUGUGGGAAGGCCCAGACAGCCAGGAUGUUGGCUUAGAAGCAGCCAUCAUUUAAAGAAAGCGUAAUAGCUCACUGGUCGAGUCGGCCUGCGCGGAAGAUGUAACGGGGCUAAACCAUGCACCGAAGCUGCGGCAGCGACGCUUAUGCGUUGUUGGGUAGGGGAGCGUUCUGUAAGCCUGUGAAGGUGUGCUGUGAGG
rnacentral:rRNA from 1 species